rnacentral:rRNA from 1 species
AUGCAAGACAAGACUGGAAAAACCGCUCUACAUUAUGCAGUCCGGAAGUGUGAUCCGGAACUAGUUAGUAUUUUACUAUCUCACGAGGAUAUAGAUGCGACAGUGCUUGACAACAUCGGUGUUUCAGCGGCUUGGGAACUGAAGUACGUCAUGGAGAAUGCCAAGACUUUAAACUGGAAUGAAGUCUUGAUGCUUAUGCUAAAAGCAGAUGCCCAAAAUGCCAGAUCUCUCUACAAUCUUCACGGGAAAGCCAAGCAACAAGCAAUCGAUGCUGGAAGGAAGGAUGCAAAGUCACUAACUAAGACAUACACAACCAACAUUUCAUUAGUGGCCAUUCUCAUUACGACAAUCACCUUUGCUGCUGCUUUCACCCUGCCCGGAGGAUACAGCAGUGUUGAUGGAAGCGAGGGACUUCCGAUCAUGUCUCGGAAGGUUGCAUUUCAAGCAUUCUUGAUCUUUGACACCUUAGCAAUGUGCUCCUCAUUUGCCGUUGCUUUCAUAUGUGUCAUAGCAAGGUGGGAGGAUUAUGAGUUCUUGAUUUAUUACACAUCUUUCACUAAGAAGCUCAUGUGGUUUGCAUAUGUGGCAACUACUAUGGCUUUUUCAACUGGUUUAUACACGGUGUUAGCCCCGCGUCUCCAUUGGUUGGCCACAGGAAUUUCCGUUUUAGUAGCUUUAUUGCCCAUUCUAACCAAGCUUCUUGGCGAAUGGCCUGUUUUGAAGCUCAGACUCCGUUUGGGAGAAACUUUCAACUCCGAUCUCUUAGACAUGGUGUGA